GACGAACGCUGGCGGCGUGCCUAAUACAUGCAAGUCGAACGAACCGCGACUAAGUGCUUGCACUAAGUCAAGGUGAGUGGCGAACGGGUGAGUAACACGUGGGUAACCUACCUCAUAGUGGGGGAUAACAGUCGGAAACGACUGCUAAUACCGCAUAGGACAUAGGAUCACAUGAUCCAGUGAGGAAAGGUGGCGCAAGCUAUCGCUAAGAGAUGGACCCGCGGUGCAUUAGCUAGUUGGUAGGGUAAAGGCCUACCAAGGCGAUGAUGCAUAGCCGACCUGAGAGGGUGAUCGGCCACAUUGGGACUGAGACACGGCCCAAACUCCUACGGGAGGCAGCAGUAGGGAAUCUUCCGCAAUGGACGCAAGUCUGACGGAGCAACGCCGCGUGAGUGAAGAAGGUCUUCGGAUCGUAAAGCUCUGUUGUUAGAGAAGAACAGCGCAGAGAGUAACUGCUAUGCGUGUGACGGGAUCUAACCAGAAAGCCACGGCUAACUACGU
rnacentral:rRNA from 1 species